UACGUAGGGGGCAAGCGUUGUCCGGAAUCAUUGGGCGGAAUGAGCGUGUAGGCGGCUUGGUAAGUCCGCUGUGAAAGUCCAGGGCUCAACCCUGGAAUGCCGGUGGAAACUGUCAAGCUUGAGUCCGGAAGAGGCGAGUGGAAUUCCUGGUGUAGCGGUGAAAUGCGCAGAUAUCAGGAGGAACACCAAUGGCGAAGGCAGCUCGCUGGGACGGUACUGACGCUGAGACGCGAAAGCGUGGGGAGCAAACAGG
rnacentral:rRNA from 1 species